rnacentral:tRNA from 1 species
GCACGGGUAUCGGCAAGACGGAUAUGCCAGCGGUUUAAACCCACCUGUGGGCCGUGUAUCGGGGGUUCGAGUCCCUCACCCGUGCA